GCUGGUGUGUCCGAGCGGUCCAAGGAGCCAGAUUUAAGUGUCCAACAUUGAGAGUGUAGAUUCCUGGUAGGGCAACCUGCGUGGGUUCGAAUCCCAUCGCCAGCA